GAUGAACGCUGGCGGUGUGCUUAACACAUGCAAGUCGAACGAAGCACUUUAACCGAUUUCUUCGGAAUGAAGUUUUAGUGACUGAGUGGCGGACGGGUGAGUAACGCGUGGGUAACCUGCCUCACACAGGGGGAUAACAGUUGGAAACGGCUGCUAAUACCGCAUAAGCGCACAGUACCGCAUGGUACAGUGUGAAAAACUCCGGUGGUGUGAGAUGGACCCGCGUCUGAUUAGCUAGUUGGCAGGGCAGCGGCCUACCAAGGCGACGAUCAGUAGCCGACCUGAGAGGGUGACCGGCCACAUUGGGACUGAGACACGGCCCAAACUCCUACGGGAGGCAGCAGUGGGGAAUAUUGGUCAAUGGGCGGAAGCCUGAACCAGCCAAGUCGCGUGGAGGAAGACGGCCCUACGGGUUGUAAACUCCUUUUACCUGGGAAUAACGGGCGCUACGCGUAGCGCUAUGCAUGUACCAGGCGAAUAAGCAUCGGCUAAUUCCGUGCCAGCAGCCGCGGUAAUACGGAAGAUGCGAGCGUUAUCCGGAUUUAUUGGGUUUAAAGGGUGCGUAGGCGGAAGAAUAAGUCAGCGGUGAAAUGCUUCAGCUCAACUGGAGAAUUGCAGUUGAUACUGCGUCGCUUGAGUGCACACAGGGAUGUUGGAAUUCAUGGUGUAGCGGUGAAAUGCUUAGAUAUCAUGAAGAACUCCGAUCGCGAAGGCAUAUGUCCGGAGUGCAACUGACGCUGAGGCUCGAAAGUGUGGGUAUCANACAGG
rnacentral:rRNA from 1 species